rnacentral:rRNA from 1 species
UUCGCAAUGCCCGAAAGGGUGACGAAGCGACGCCGCGUGGGUGAGGAAGGCCCUCGGGUUGUAAAGCCCUGUCAGGAGUUAAGAAAUGUAAGUGUGUUAAUACCACAUUUAUUUGACGAAGGCUCCAAAGGAAGCCACGGCUAACUCUGUGCCAGCAGCCGCGGUAAUACAGAGGUGGCAAGCGUUGUUCGGAAUUAUUGGGCGUAAAGAGCACGUAGGUGGGUUUGUAAGUCAGAUGUGAAAGCCUUCUGUUCAACGGAAGAAUUGCAUCUGAAACUGCGAAUCUUGAGUGUAGGAGGGGAGAAUGGAACUUCUGGUGGAGCGGUGAAAUGCGUAGAUAUCAGAAGGAACGCCGGCGGCGAAAGCGAUUCUCUGGCCUAUUACUGACACUCAGUGUGCGAAAGCUAGGGGAGCAAACGGGAUUAGAUACCCCGGUAGUCCUAGCCGUAAACGAUGGGCACUAAGUAGAGGGGUUUUA